UGGCGGACGGGUGAGUAAUGUCUGGGAAACUGCCUGAUGGAGGGGGAUAACUACUGGAAACGGUAGCUAAUACCGCAUAACGUCGCAAGACCAAAGAGGGGGACCUUCGGGCCUCUUGCCAUCGGAUGUGCCCAGAUGGGAUUAGCUAGUAGGUGGGGUAACGGCUCACCUAGGCGACGAUCCCUAGCUGGUCUGAGAGGAUGACCAGCCACGCUGGAACUGAGACACGGUCCAGACUCCUACGGGAGGCAGCAUG
rnacentral:rRNA from 1 species